AUCUGGGCGGCGGAAUUCAGGAUGGCCGGCGUGCUCUCGCGGUACGUCGGUCGUUUGAUAUUUCCGUCGCCAGCAAACCGCAGACGUCGCGACCUGUUCGCGGUCGGUCCCUGCUCGGAGGAGCCACGUUCGAGCUCGUUGUGUGCGCGUUUCGGCGCGUUACACGGCGAAGGCGUGGAUCUCUGGCUGGCCGUCGGACAGUAUGCUUAGCGGUGUCCGGUGUCGUCGUCUCGUACGCGCGGCAUCGGUACCGGUCAGCGACGAAUUCUUCGGGCCUCUUUCCGACCCGUCUUGAAACACGGACCAAGGAGUCUAACAUGCGCGCGAGUCGCGGGGUAUCGAGCGUACUUCGGUGCGUUCGUUAUGUUGCGAAACCCGUACAUGUCGAAGGCGUAAUGAAAGUGAAUGGGGAAGAUGGUGUUCCGAGUUCACGUUCCGCGAUCGUUGGUAUCGCGGCCGGACACCCGCAUUCCCGGGGCGUCUCAACGGCCCGUCGCUGAUGCGGACAGUUGUCUUUCGGGGUGGCUGUCGGUCGGCGACGAACCGA
rnacentral:rRNA from 1 species